UACGGGAGGCAGCAGUGGGGAAUAUUGCACAAUGGGCGCAAGCCUGAUGCAGCCAUGCCGCGUGUAUGAAGAAGGCCUUCGGGUUGUAAAGUACUUUCAGUCGUGAGGAAGGUGUUAAGGUUAAUAACCUUAGCAAUUGACGUUAGCGACAGAAGAAGCACCGGCUAACUCCGUGCCAGCAGCCGCGGUAAUACGGAGGGUGCGAGCGUUAAUCGGAAUUACUGGGCGUAAAGGGCACGCAGGCGGUUAAUUAAGUUGGAUGUGAAAUCCCCGGGCUUAACCUGGGAAUGGCAUUCAAGACUGGUUAGCUAGAGUCUUGUAGAGGGGGUAGAAUUCCAUGUGUAGCGGUGAAAUGCGUAGAGAUGUGGAGGAAUACCGGUGGGCGAAGGCGGGCCCCUGGGACAAAGACUGACGCUCAUGUGCGAAAGCGUGGGGAGCAAACAGGGAUUAGAUACC
rnacentral:rRNA from 1 species